AUGGGUAUAAUUAAGUUAAAGUGAUUUUAAAAUCACACUAACAAACCAAACAAAACAUUGAGAGAUUUUAAGGCUAUUCACUUAUUCUAUCUAAGAGAGAGAUUUGUGAGAUUUUCUUUUUUACUUUUUCUCUUAUCAGAGAGGAUGAAAGAAAAAGUGGACCCAAUUUAUGUUUUACACCACAUACGAGGGGUCAUCAUGCGUCUUCCUCGUUGAUUUUGGUGAAUGCUAGUUGAUCAUUUGCAGCGGCGAGAGACCAACUUCACGAGGCUGUGUCUCAACAAGACCAUGAUGACAGUGAACGAUAGCUUUCCAGGACCCGUAAUUCGGGUUCACAAAGGCGACACUGCCUAUGUUAAUGUCCACAAUCAAGGCGAUUUCAGUGUCACGAUUCACUGGCACGGGGUUAAGCAGCCGAGGAAUCCCUGGUCCGAUGGCCGCGUUUACAUCACGCAUUGCUUGAUCGAACCUGGCACAAACUUCAUGUACGAGAUCAUAUUCUCGCAGGAGGCAGGAACGCUCUGGUGGCACGCCCGCAGCGACUAGACCUGAUCAGGUGUUCAUGGCGCGAUCGUCAUCCUGCCAGCAGAGGGAACGAGCUACCCAUUCCCAGAACCAUAUGGCUAGGAAGAAGUAGUACUAAUGUCAAGAUUCUGGACUACAAUGAGGGAGUCGAGAUUGUUUUCCAAGGAACCAACGUUCUAGAUGCGUCAGAGGAUCACCCGAUGCAUAUGCACGGGUAUGCCUUCUAUGUGGUGGGUCCGGAGACAGACAUUUCGACAAUGAGACGGACCCGAAAGGAUACAAUCUGAUUGAUCCCCCAGAGCUGAACACCAUCUCCGUCCCAAAGAAGGGAUGGGUUGCGAUCGGAUUCCGUGCCAAUAACCCCAGGGUUUGGUUGUGGCAUUGUCAUUUCGAUCGGCAUUACAGCUGGGGUAUGAACACGGUGCUCAUAGUUAAGAAUGGCGGGACGCCGGAGACGAAUGCCAGGUACCCCCCUCCAAAAAUGCCUCCUCGUGCAACUUCUGCUCUUCAACUCUGGGAAGCCGAUGAAUUUUCGGGGGCUCCAUUCUCAUAAUAAUUCUCAAUCCUGUGCUUGUAAUAACUCUCAGAAGGGUGUUCUCAGGUUUUAUUUGCUUUGGAUAAGUGAGUUUUUUUUAC